CAGGAUGAGAUAUUUAAAUUACAGUUAUCCCUGUCUGAACCCCAGUGUUGAGAAUUUGUACUCUGAUUUCUUG
rnacentral:snoRNA from 1 species